UUUCAAGCCCAAAGCACUGACCUUCCAAGAGAGAGUGGUUAGAGUUAAGUUAUUCACCAGUGCUCAUAGCUAUGUAAUGAAGCGGCCCUGUACACCAUAGAGAGGGAAUUUAGAGAGCUUCUGUGUUGACUCUUCAGUGUUCCAUCGCAGACCCAUCAGCCUCCUGAUGCAGACUUCCACGGGACACUGCAUGAGCUCCAGCCCUGGGGUUGGACCCUUCAGGCUCCUGCAUGCAGACACCCUCUGCAGGUAUCUCAUCUGACUUUGAAGCUGACUAUGCACAGGCCGUGAAUGGCUCAAAGGAAGUUUUAUGGAGCAAAAUCACAAGGUGACACCAAUUAUCUUACCUCUGGGGAAGUACAAGGCUUAGUUGUUCCGUCUUAUAUGGAGGACUGACCUUCGACAGAUGCUCUUCCAGCCACAGCUGUAAUGUGCUGUCACCCUCUGCACUGACUCCCUCAAGGUCCGAGUCCUGUCUGGCUGCCUACAAUAUGUGUACCUGACUUAGCUGUCUCCAAUAAAACUACACAGUGCGGCCAGAGCUGAGGGCACAAGUGCCUGCCUUGCAAGCACAAGGUCCUGAGUCUGACUCCUGGUCCCAAAAAUAAGCAAAUAAAUAAAACUGCAUAGAAAAUGAUCAUUUUUAAAAUAAAAAACUUUUACUCAAGCCUCAAUAUUUAAAAUCCACAUGCUCACUCACAGGUGAUCCAUUGAGAAAUGCUUUUCUAAGCAAAGCGCCUGACUCCCCUUAGACAGCCCACGGUGUACACAUGGUCGUUUUGAUACAGGAGAAAUGCAGCUCCCAUCUUGCUGGCUGUUAGAUGUGCUAAGUUUGUGUUCCCUCAAUUCGAGGAAUAAAUCCCAAAGGACAAAGGAGUUUAAGAGUAGCAAAGUUUAGAGGUGGGGAUUUAGUUCAGUGGCUCAAACCCUUGCCUGGUAAGCACAAAGUCAUGAAUUAGAUCCCUGGUUUAAAAAAAAAGAGCAUUAAAGCUUUCCUGGGGAGUAGGAAUGGCUCCUGAGAGACAGGAGGGUCCUCAAUGGGUUGCCCCCAAGGCCUUUUAUCAGGAGUAAUUUAUAUAGCAAAGCCACAAUGUGAGUUCAGUUAUAAUUCACCAAUAAGGGGCUGGGGAUUUAGCUCAGUGGCUUAAGUGCCUGCCUCGCCAGGGGGCGGUCAUGAGUUCGACCCCUUGUACAGAUAAAAAAAUAAAAAAUUUUUAAAAAUAUAUAAUUCACCAAUAAGAUUACAAGUAUAGUUACUUAGCUGCCGUUGAUCCAG